rnacentral:piRNA from 1 species
UCAAAUGCCUAAUAGGACUUGCUUCC